UGGAAGGAAAAAAUCGUAACAAGGUUUCCGUAGGUGAACCUGCGGAAGGAUCAUUAGUGAAUAUAGGACGUCCAACUUAACUUGGAGUCCGAACUCUCACUUUCUAACCCUGUGCACUUGUUUGGGAUAGUAACUCUCGCAAGAGAGCGAACUCCUAUUCACUUAUAAACACAAAGUCUAUGAAUGUAUUAAAUUUUAUAACAAAAUAAAACUUUCAACAACGGAUCUCUUGGCUCUCGCAUCGAUGAAGAACGCAGCGAAAUGCGAUAAGUAAUGUGAAUUGCAGAAUUCAGUGAAUCAUCGAAUCUUUGAACGCACCUUGCGCUCCAUGGUAUUCCGUGGAGCAUGCCUGUUUGAGUGUCAUGAAUACUUCAACCCUCCUCUUUCUUAAUGAUUGAAGAGGUGUUUGGUUUCUGAGCGCUGCUGGCCUUUACGGUCUAGCUCGUUCGUAAUGCAUUAGCAUCCGCAAUCGAACUUCGGAUUGACUUGGCGUAAUAGACUAUUCGCUGAGGAAUUCUAGUCUUCGGAUUAGAGCCGGGUUGGGUUAAAGGAAGCUUCUAAUCAGAAUGUCUACAUUUUAAGAUUAGAUCUCAAAUCAGGUAGGACUACCCGCUGAACUUAAGCAUAUCAAUAAGCGGAGGAA
rnacentral:rRNA from 1 species